AUUGAACGCUGGCGGCAGGCCUAACACACGCAAGUCGAGCGCGAAAGUUCUUCGGAAUGAGUAAAGCGGCGGACGGGUGAGUAAUACAUGGGAAUCUGCCUGGUAGUGGGGGACAACGUUUCGAAAGGAACGCUAAUACCGCAUACGCCCUACGGGGGAAAGGGGGGGAUCGGGCAAGACCUCUCGCUAUCAGAUGACGC
rnacentral:rRNA from 1 species